rnacentral:rRNA from 1 species
GACGAACGCUGGCGGCGUGCCUAAUACAUGCAAGUAGAACGCUGAAGAGAGGAGCUUGCUCUUCUUGGAUGAGUUGCGAACGGGUGAGUAACGCGUAGGUAACCUGCCUUGUAGCGGGGGAUAACUAUUGGAAACGAUAGCUAAUACCGCAUAACAAUGGCUGAAACAUGUCAUUUAUUUGAAAGGGGCAAUUGCUCCACUACAAGAUGGACCUGCGUUGUAUUAGCUAGUAGGUGAGGUAAUGGCUCACCUAGGCGACGAUACAUAGCCGACCUGAGAGGGUGAUCGGCCACACUGGGACUGAGACACGGCCCAGACUCCUACGGGAGGCAGCAGUAGGGAAUCUUCGGCAAUGGGGGCAACCCUGACCGAGCAACGCCGCGUGAGUGAAGAAGGUUUUCGGAUCGUAAAGCUCUGUUGUAAGUCAAGAACGGGUGUGAGAGUGGAAAGUUCACACUGUGACGGUAGCUUACCAGAAAGGGACGGCUAACUACGUG